AAGCAAUGGAAACAUUUUAAACGCUCUACCGCUCCCGUUCGUUAUGUUGCUGCUCCGACUGUGAUCUUACGUAUAAUAAAUUAAAUACCGUGCGAGUGUGCGUUCAAUUGUAAUUGGAGACGGAGACGCGCUGUGUUUAUUUAAUUGUAGUUUCGUGUCUUCGCUUACGUGUUUAUAAAUUGCCAAAAAUAGCCAAGUAAUAAUACAAA